rnacentral:lncRNA from 1 species
GCCAGAUAUGAACUCUUAAGAGGUGAGUAUUCUGGUAUCCAGGACGGAAGUAAGUUAGUAUGGAUGGAAGGAAGGAAGGAAGGAAAAAGGGAAGGAAGGGAGGGAGGGAGGGAAGGAAGGAAGGAAGGAGGGAGGCAGGGAGGUCAGACCCACUUGGUUCUGGUCAGCACAGCCGAUGGCACAGUCGGACGUGGCGACGGUGCCUGGGAAAUGCCUGCCCCUGCCCUGGUCUGAAGGAAGAAAUGCCAGCACAGACAAAGCAGCCAAAACAGCCUCAGAGAGGGGCCAAACGCCCUGGGAAACGGGUUGUGGUCCUGGAGGGCUGCCUAGAGGGAGGCCUUGAAGGGUGAUGAGAAAUUCCAUUAGCAAAGAGUGGGCGAGGACUCUGGGAUGAAGAGCCCAAGCCAGGGAGGGAGAGCAGAAAGGGCUGAGGGACCAGGAGGAGCUGGAGCUGGUAGACACAGCAGCCCCCAAGGCCCCGAGGGCUCUGAAUGCAGGGCAAAGAGGGACUGACAGUACCCAGGACAAACCGGGAGUCUGAACAUUUAAGACCCUUCCCUUCUGUCUUAGCAUCAAGACAAGAAUUGGUUCUAAGGCAGAAGAGUGGUCAGGAUGAGGCCAUGGGGUAGAGGGAUUUGCCAGGAUCACACAGCUAGGGAGUGCCUGAGGUUGGAUUUGAACCCAGAACCUCCCGCCUCUAGGCCUGGCUCCCUAUCCACUGAGCUGCCCAGCUGUUCCUCAAUGAAAGUUUCUGAAAACAAGAGUGCUGUGACCCUGCUGUGACAGCCGGCUGAGGAGGGGUCUCCCUGCCCUCUCCCCUUCCAGUCCAUCCUCCAUUCAGCCCCCAAAGUGAUCUUCCUAAAUCCCAGUCUGACAUGUUGCCCCCGGGGGCUCCCUCCUGCCUCCAGAGCCAGCACAACACACUGAUGGCCACCGGAAGCCCCCCUCGCCUCUCCUCAUUCUCCUCCAGGCUCUGGUCCAGUGGCCUCCUCCACUCUGACGGCUGGUCUCUCUGGUGUCUUUGGAGUCCCGGUUAAAGGGCCACCGCCUCCAGGAAGCCCCUCAGAAUUCCAGGGCCUUCCCUCUCCUUUCCUAUCUAGCCUGGCUCUGGCUGGUGUGUACACAGCAGCAGGCAGCUUGUCUCCUCCUGGAGACAGUGAGCCCCGGGGGACAGGCGCCGUCUUCUCUUCUUUUGGGGUCCCCGGCAAGAUUCUCACCUUGGCCUCUGGCCUCCUUACGGGUGGCCUCGAUGGGCCUUUCCCACCUUAUUUAACAUCCUGCCCUUCCCUACACACUCCAGGCAGCCUGGUCUCCCCCGUGCCGUCUGAUCACGCUCCGUGUCCCACCUCCCUGCGUUUGCUGUCCCCUCUGCCUAGCCUGCCCUCUCCCCAGAGCUCUCACGGAAGCCACCCAUUCCUAUUGGCAUUCUCUGCACGUGCCCCGGGUGCCCAGGCAGUGCUUAUUUCACACACACACACACACACACACACACACACACACACACGCACACACACGCACGCUCACACACAUGCACACAUGCACACACGCUCACACACAUACAUACACACAGACACACGCUCACACGCACACACAUGCUCACACACAUGCGCGCAACACACUCACACAUGCACACACACUCACACACAUGCUCACACACAUACGCUCACACACGCAUGCACGCACACACUCACACACAUAUGCUCAUACACAUGCACACACAUAGUCACAGACACACAUACACAUAUGUGCAUUCGCCCACGUGCACAGACACACACAUGCUCACACACAUGCACACAUACACAUAUGUGCAUUCGCCCACGUGCACAGACACGCUCUAAGGCUUGGCCUCUUCCCAGCCCAGGACAGCCGGGCUCCUGCCCUCACCCCUCUCCAUCCCUCGCCGUGUGCACCCAGCUG